rnacentral:rRNA from 1 species
GAUGAACGCUGGCGGCGUGCUUAACACAUGCAAGUCGAACGAGAAGUGAAGACGGAAACCUUCGGGCGGAAGGCUUUAUUUCGAGUGGCGGACGGGUGAGUAACGCGUGGGUAACCUGCCUCAUACAGGGGGAUAACAGUUGGAAACGACUGUUAAUACCGCAUAAGACCACAGCACCGCAUGGUGCGGGGGUAAAAACUCCGGUGGUAUGAGAUGGACCCGCGUUCGAUUAGCCAGUUGGCGGGGUAACGGCCCACCAAAGCGACGAUCGAUAGCCGAUCUGAGAGGAUGACCGGCCACAUUGGGACUGAGACACGGCCCAAACUCCUACGGGAGGCAGCAGUGGGGAAUAUUGCACAAUGGGGGAAACCCUGAUGCAGCGACGCCGCGUGAGUGAAGAAGUAUUUCGGUAUGUAAAGCUCUAUCAGCAGGGAAGAAAAUGACGGUACCUGAGUAAGAAGCCCCGGCUAACUUCGUG